rnacentral:rRNA from 1 species
UACGUAGGGUCCGAGCGUUGUCCGGAAUCAUUGGGCGUAAAGCGCGCGUAGGCGGCCCGGUAAGUCCGUUGUAAAAGUCGAAGGCUCAACCUUCGAAAGCCGAUGGAUACUGCCGGGCUAGAGUACGGAAGAGGCGAGUAGAAUUCCUGGUGUAGCGGUGGAAUGCGCAGAUAUCAGGAGGAAUACCGGUGGCGAAGGCGGGUCUCUGGGCCGAUACUGACGCUGAGGAGCGAAAGCGUGGGGAGCGAACAGGAUUAGAACCGUACCGUAC